GAGACCUGCAUUUACAAUUGCCAGCGACAACCUCGGUUGGAUCGGGCACAUUGUAAGGACUGCCGUGGAAACACGGAGGAAGGUGCAGGCAACGGUAGGUCUGUAUGCUCCGAAUCUUCUGGGCUACACGCGCGCAACAAUGGUAAGGACAAUGGGAUACGACUCCGAAAGGAGAAGUCAAUCCUCUAAACCUUAUCUUAGUCUAGAUCGAGGGCUGUAACUCGCCCUCGUGACAUUGGAAUCCCUAGUAAUCGUUCCUCAUUAUAGAACGGUGAAUAU
rnacentral:rRNA from 1 species